UGAGUGGGUGAAUGGAGGACUAGAAGGUAGAUAACAGGACAGGUCUGAGUGGGUGAAUGGAGGACUAGAAGGUAGAUAACAGGACAGGUCUGAGUGGGUGAAUGGAGGACUAGAAGGUAGAUAACAGGACAGGUCUGAGUGGGUGAAUGGAGGACUAGAAGGUAGAUAACAGGACAGGUCUGAGUGGGUGAAUGGAGGACUAGAAGGUAGAUAACAGGACAGGUCUGAGUGGGUGAAUGGAGGACUAGAAGGUAGAUAACAGGACAGGUCUGAGUGGGUGAAUGGAGGACUAGAAGGUAGAUAACAGGACAGGUCUGAGUGGGUGAAUGGAGGACUAGAAGGUAGAUAACAGGACAGGUCUGAGUGGGUGAAUGGAGGACUAGAAGGUAGAUAACAGGACAGGUCUGAGUGGGUGAAUGGAGGACUAGAAGGUAGAUAACAGGACAGGUCUGAGUGGGUGAAUGGAGGACUAGAAGGUAGAUAACAGGACAGGUCUGAGUGGGUGAAUGGAGGACUAGAAGGUAGAUAACAGGACAGGUCUGAGUGGGUGAAUGGAGGACUAGAAGGUAGAUAACAGGACAGGUCUGAGUGGGUGAAUGGAGGACUAGAAGGUAGAUAACAGGACAGGUCUGAGUGGGUGAAUGGAGGACUAGAAGGUAGAUAACAGGACAGGUCUGAGUGGGUGAAUGGAGGACUAGAAGGUAGAUAACAGGACAGGUCUGAGUGGGUGAAUGGAGGACUAGAAGGUAGAUAACAGGACAGGUCUGAGUGGGUGAAUGGAGGACUAGAAGGUAGAUAACAGGACAGGUCUGAGUGGGUGAAUGGAGGACUAGAAGGUAGAUAACAGGACAGGUCUGAGUGGGUGAAUGGAGGACUAGAAGGUAGAUAACAGGACAGGUCUGAGUGGGUGAAUGGAGGACUAGAAGGUAGAUAACAGGACAGGUCUGAGUGGGUGAAUGGAGGACUAGAAG